GAUGAACGCUGGCGGCGUGCCUAAUACAUGCAAGUCGAGCGAACAGACGAGGAGCUUGCUCCUCUGACGUUAGCGGCGGACGGGUGAGUAACACGUGGAUAACCUACCUAUAAGACUGGGAUAACUUCGGGAAACCGUAGCUAAUACCGGAUAAUAUAUUGAACCGCAUGGUUCAAUAUUGAAAGACGGUUUUGCUGUCACUUAUAGAUGGAUCCGCGCCGCAUUAGCUAGUUGGUAAGGUAACGGCUUACCAAGGCAACGAUGCGUAGCCGACCUGAGAGGGUGAUCGGCCACACUGGAACUGAGACACGGUCCAGACUCCUACGGGAGGCAGCAGUAGGGAAUCUUCCGCAAUGGGCGAAAGCCUGACGGAGCAACGCCGCGUGAGUGAUGAAGGUCUUCGGAUCGUAAAACUCUGUUAUUAGGGAAGAACAAAUGUGUAAGUAACUAUGCACGUCUUAACGGUACCUAAUCAGAAAGCCACGGCUAACUACGUG
rnacentral:rRNA from 1 species